UGGGGAAUUUUGCACAAUGGGGGAAACCCUGAUGCAGCGACGCCGCGUGAUUUAGAAGGCCUUCGGGUUGUAAAAAUCUUUUGUAUGGGAAGAAAAUGACAGUACCAUACGAAUAAGGACCGGCUAAUUACGUGCCAGCAGCCGCGGUAAUACGUAAGGUCCGAGCGUUGUCCGGAAUCAUUGGGCGUAAAGGGUACGUAGGCGGAUAAGCAAGUUAGAAGUGAAAUCCUAUAGCUCAACUAUAGUAAGCUUUUAAAACUGCUCAUCUUGAGGUAUGGAAGGGAAAGUGGAAUUCCUAGUGUAGCGGUGAAAUGCGCAGAUAUUAGGAGGAAUACCGGUGGCGAAGGCGACUUUCUGGCCAUAAUCUGACGCUGAGGUACGAAAGCGUGGGUAGCAAACAGG
rnacentral:rRNA from 1 species